UACAGAGGGUGCGAGCGUUAUCCGGAAUUAUUGGGCGUAAAGAGCUCGUAGGCGGUUUGUCGCGUCUGCCGUGAAAGUCCGGGGCUCAACUCCGGAUCUGCGGUGGGUACGGGCAGACUAGAGUGAUGUAGGGGAGACUGGAAUUCCUGGUGUAGCGGUGAAAUGCGCAGAUAUCAGGAGGAACACCGAUGGCGAAGGCAGGUCUCUGGGCAUUAACUGACGCUGAGGAGCGAAAGCAUGGGGAGCGAACAGG
rnacentral:rRNA from 1 species